AUCUAUGCCAGAGAACCGAGAUACAUUUACAUGUACACAUGCACCCGCAAUUAGAGUUCCUAUGCACCACUAAUCGCUGGAAGUCUAUUGUAGUUUAUUUACAAAACAAGGAAAAUAAAUUGAGGACCAAAACAGAAAAGUCUUAGAUUUUUUUUUUUUUUAAUUUAGGUAUUUGGGUCCUAAAUUUAGCAAUUCUUAAUUUUCUUACUUUCAGGUAAUACAUGUAAAGUGC